CCUACGGGAGGCAGCAGUAAGGAAUAUUGGACAAUGGUGGCAACACUGAUCCAGCCAUGCCGCGUGAAGGAUGAAGGACCUAUGGUUUGUAAACUUCUUUUGUAUGGGAAAAAACCUCUUUACGUGUAAAGAGCUGAUGGUACCAUAAGAAUAAGGGUCGGCUAACUUCGUGCCAGCAGCCGCGGUAAUACGAAGGACCCGAGCGUUAUCCGGAUUCAUUGGGUUUAAAGGGUGCGUAGGUGGAAUAAUAAGUCAGUGGUGAAAUCCUGCAGCUUAACUGCAGAACUGCCAUUGAUACUGUUGUUCUUGAGUACAUUUGAUGUGGGCGGAAUAUGACAUGUAGCGGUGAAAUGCUUAGAUAUGUCAUAGAACACCGAUUGCGAAGGCAGCUCACAAAACUGUUACUGACACUGAGGCACGAAAGCGUGGGGAGCAAACAGGAUUAGAUACCCUGGUAGUCCACGACGUAACGUAGUAUCACUANAUGUGGUGAUACACUGUCNGCGUCCGACGACGAAGACGAGUAAGUAG
rnacentral:rRNA from 1 species